rnacentral:rRNA from 1 species
UACGGGAGGCAGCAGUGGGGAAUAUUGCACAAUGGGGGGAACCCUGAUGCAGCCAUGCCGCGUGUAUGAAGAAGGCCUUCGGGUUGUAAAGUACUUUCGGUGAUGAGGAAGGUGGUGUAUCUAAUAGGUGCANCAAUUGACGUUAAUUACAGAAGAAGCACCGGCUAACUCCGUGCCAGCAGCCGCGGUAAUACGGAGGGUGCGAGCGUUAAUCGGAAUGACUGGGCGUAAAGGGCAUGUAGGCGGAUAAUUAAGUUAGGUGUGAAAGCCCUGGGCUCAACCUAGGAAUUGCACUUAAAACUGGUUAACUAGAGUAUUGUAGAGGAAGGUAGAAUUCCACGUGUAGCGGUGAAAUGCGUAGAGAUGUGGAGGAAUACCGGUGGCGAAGGCGGCCUUCUGGACAGAUACUGACGCUGAGAUGCGAAAGCGUGGGGAGCAAACAGGAUUAGAUACCCUGGUAGUCCACGCUGUAAACGAUGUCGAUUUGGAGUUUGUUGCCUAGAGUGAUGGGCUCCGAAGCUAACGCGAUAAAUCGACCGCCUGGGGAGUACGGCCGCAAGGUUAAAACUCAAAUGAAUUGACGGGGGCCCSCACAAGCGGUGGAGCAUGUGGUUUAAUUCGAUGCAACGCGAAGAACCUUACCUGGUCUUGACAUCCACAGAAUCUUGCAGAGAUGCGAGAGUGCCUUCGGGAACUGUGAGACAGGUGCUGCAUGGCUGUCGUCAGCUCGUGUUGUGAAAUGUUGGGUUAAGUCCCGCAACGAGCGCAACCCUUAUCCUUUGUUGCCAUCGGUUAGGCCGGGAACUCAAAGGAGACUGCCGUUGAUAAAGCGGAGGAAGGUGGGGACGACGUCAAGUCAUCAUGGCCCUUACGACCAGGGCUACACACGUGCUACAAUGGCGUAUACAAAGGGAGGCGACCUCGCGAGAGCAAGCGGACCUCAUAAAGUACGUCUAAGUCCGGAUUGGAGUCUGCAACUCGACUCCAUGAAGUCGGAAUCGCUAGUAAUCGUGAAUCAGAAUGUCACGGUGAAUACGUUCCCGGGCCUUGUACACACCGCCCGUCACANCCAUGGGAGUGGGUUGCACCAGAACGUAGAUAGCUUAACCUUCGGGAGGGCG